GGCAAUUAUGGAGGCUGCUCAAUUACUGCUUUAUUUCGGAGUUGAACAAAUCAUCUAUGUUUCUGAAAUGACGCACUGCUAAAUAAAGGUCUAUUCUCCGAAGACUGCGCCUUAUGCUAGUGAGGAAAAUGAUGUGGUUCGUGAGCAAUGGGCUAAGUUUUAUACCAGCAUGUAUUUAUUAUUGAUCUGAGGGCGCUUGAUCGAGUUGGUUUAGAUGUUAUAGAACAAUUUUUUAUGUUGAAAUGUAUGCUUACGUUGAAAUUGGAACGUACAUAUAUUUAUUUAAAUGUAUAUAUAUGGUACGUGCACUUUGGUUUUGGGAUAUAUAUACAAAACACCAGUUAUUGUUUUUA